GCCAGGUGUGGUGGCACACUCCUGUAAUCCCAGCGGCUCAGGAGGCUGAGACAGGAGGAUCGUGAGUUCAAAGACAGCCUCAGCAAAAGCAAGGCAGUAAGCAGCUCAGUGAGACCCUGACUCUA
rnacentral:sRNA from 1 species